rnacentral:lncRNA from 1 species
CGUUACCUAGAGAUUUAAUGUCACGUAAGAUCCACUUCACUGUUGAUAAACUCUCCUCUUCUCCGCGGAUAAACGUUCUGUAAGGCGUGGAGCAUCCCAUGUCUCCGAACAUGAACGCUAAGGUUUGGUCUGAAUCGUCGUUUCGAGACACGAAGCUGUGGAUCUCGCUCCAUCCUUUGGACUCGCUCCCGACUUGGUAAUAGUAUUUGACUCCUGGUUUCAAGCUCUUCAUGACGGCGUCGAAUGUCCAGCCUGGAUCCCUCCAGCCGAUCGUGGUAUUCGCCGGCGCGUGGCACAUACGCUCCCUCUCCAGGUGUUACAUUAAUGAUUCAUCCAUCAACAAUUGGAAACACUAAGGAUGAUGUCAAGAAAAGCUUGCUAAUCAUCUAUGCUUUUGAGAUCUCUCUCUCUCGUAUACAUAAAUUAGUUUAAACUUUGAUCAUCAGUUUAAAGUUUAAUUUUUAAAAUAAUUUUUUUAACUCCCUUAAAAUAGCUUUAUAUCCUUUAUAAACCAAUGUAUUAUAUUAAAAAAAAAUAUUCUCAAAUAAUAUCAACUCAAGACACUUUCAACACUAAUUAACCCACAUAUUCUCAAUACAUAAAACUUGACAUAAUAAAAAAAAUAAAAAAGAAACGCACUAAAACCAUGUUCCAUUCCCAUGGUACAUUUUCAUUCAUUUCCAUACCAGUUGGAAUGAUGAACCUUCUUCAUUGUGAUGCCAAUUUCAUAUGGCUGUAUUUUUAUUGGAAAAUGUUAAACAUAUGUACAAACAAUACACUGCCACAUUAUCAUACAUUUAUCUCUGCUUAUGAGGUCUCUCUCAUAUACAUAAAAUUAGUUUAAACUUUGAUCAUCAUUUUAAAUUAAAAAUUUUAAAUUAUUUUUUUAACUUCCUUAAAAUAGCUUUUUAUCCUUUAAUAAACCAAUAUAUUAUUUUUAUUUUUAAUUUUUUUUUCUCAAAUAAUAUCAACUCAAGACACUUCAAUAAAUUAUCUUUAGUAGUAAAGUCGUAAACACUAAUUAACUCAUAUGUUCUCAAUACAUAAUACUUGACAUAAUAAAGAUAAUAAAAAAACACUAAUUUUUUUUAUUCCUUUACAUACCGGUUGGAAUGAGCCAAUUCCAUAUGGCUGUAUUUUUACUGAAAAAUGAUAAACAUAUAAACAAACAAUACACUGCCACAUUAUCAUGCAUUUAUAAUAAAAUAAUGUAUUCAAACCACAAACUACAUAAUUACAAAAAAAAACAUCUAAUGAACUAAUAUGUUUUAUGUUACUAACACCACAUAUGUAAUUUUGAUAUUAGAAAAUUUUGACCAUCACUAAAAAGUUUAUUUGAAAAACAAAUCGUAACACAUAUUCAAAUGAUAAAAUAAAAUCAAUACACAUAAAUCAAACAGUCAUAAUAUCAAAAAAAAUAAUAUAUUAAAACAGAUAAAACAUGUUAAACAUCAUUUGAAAUUCUCUAGUAAUAAAUCAAUACAUUUUAUAGUUUGUAUAUUUUUUUUUAGUUACAUUAUUUUUAUCUAGAUACGUAAUCAUGUGGUGUCAUAUUGUUCAUGUAACUAAUAAUCAUUUUUCCUUUUAUAUUCCUAAACAACCACCAUAAAUAUAUUAACCAUGCCACAAAAAUGGAACUUAAGUUUAUGCGAUCAAAAUCAAGAAGAUGAUUUUUUUUGUUAAAGAUGCAGUUAAGUUUUUUUUUUAAAUACAACUUUAGGUAGUUUCUACCAUCAAAAUAUUUUACUUGAAUUGGCUGCAUCAAGUACUGUCUAUCUGCACAAUCUUAUUCUUCUGUCACCUCAUCUAGCUCGUAAGAAUCUUUAAAGUUUUAAGUUUGGAUAGUUAGAGAAUCUUUAUGCCAUUUUUUCGAAAUCAACCGCUUUAGUUAGAUAGUCUACAAGAGUCUAUAAACACUAUAAACACACAUGAACGGAAAUAAUUCCCAAUUAUUACUCAAAGAAGGGUAUAGUUCGAAAGAACAUCAAUGUCUGCUAUCCGUUUAAGGGAACCCGAUUAAACCGAAUCAAAACACAAACCAAGCUGAAUACAAACCGAACCGAAAUCAAUCCAAACUAAUUAAGGUUUAUUUCAGUUGAAAAAAUUCUAAAACCAAAAUAAUCAAACCGAAUCCAAACCAAACCGAUAAAAUAACCGAAGUGUCCACUACUAAUCAUCGUGAAUUGAAAAAUCUAGGGUUAGGGGUUAACUCAAUUUGGGGACUUUUGAAAAGUUGGGGACACACUCGUCCAUGUGCAAAGUUUGACUUUUGAAUCAAAAUUCAAGUUACCCAAUACUCAAUUAGAAAAGUAAACCGACUUUGGAUCUUACGAUUAAUCAUAAUUGUCGGUCGGAUGUUUUAAACUCAUCCAUCAAAAUCAAAGUGAUAUCUUUUGCCUCUAAAUAUUGAAAGUUCCCAUAUGUAAAUUAUCAAAACGUUUAUUGUCAAGAAGGUGACUAAAACUUUUGGUUCUUACCAUUCAGGUUUUUAAUUAAAAACAAGGGAUUGAGGCGACCUUUUGAUGCAAGAGUGCAAUGCUAAGCAUGUAAGACACCUGAACCAAUUAGACGAAUCUCAUGUUUCUCUGGAGAAGACGCCUUAGCUACUGUUUUAACCCCACUAUUGUCUAAAACGUUCACUUGUCUUAGGUGCCGUAGGUACUGUUGUAACCCCAUUGUUGUCUAAAAUUUAUAAGGUCGUCUAUCUAUUUAUUGCAAAUAAAAAUUACAUAGCCUCUCUUUUCUUUUUUUUUAUAAGGUCGUACUUUUUUCUUUUUUUUCUUUAAAAAAAAAUAGAAGAAAUGUGUUAAAAAAAGCCUCUUUUUUUUUAUUAAACAAAAUCUGCUAAAGUAAUAUCGCAAAACUAAACCCUUCAAAGCCUUGAAGAGGUUAAUAAGCUUUUUGGAUGUACCUUUCUAUAAUAAGAAUGCUAUACAUAACUUGUGGGACAAGUAAAACAAAAACAAGUCCAAGCUGAAUCAUGUCUCCUCCUCAUUCUUCACUUGGAUCCAACGCCCAGUAUUAGAUGAUCCAGCUCCUUCUCUUUUUCGACGACUAAAGAAACCGAUAAGAUACCCCAAAACCACUCCCAAAACCAUCACACUUGCUCCUUCAAUGUACCACAACACCUCAAACUCAGAUUUAGAUCCCAGGCUUGAGUCUUUACCAUCAUCAUCACUACCACCGCUAAUAACUUCCCCUGAAGCCAAAAUCUCAACCUUGUCAUGAACCUCUCCAUCAUGGUUCCCCACAUAAGAAAUAGUAAGUCUCUCCUUAUCAGCAACCAAACGAGUGUACCCAAACUCGCCUCCACGGUACAUCGACCGAGCAGGCUGAGGAAAUAUCGGUACAUCCGGAUGAUUAGGCCUCGGUUCCCAAAUCGGUUGCGUCUCUUUCCCAGCCAUACCGAUCACAAGAUGAACAGGGCUCCCAUGCCAACGCUCACCACAAGUGUUGUUACUAAUCGGACAAAACCUCUCGUAUCUAUGAACAUGUCCCCAUAACGCAACCGUCACGUUGUUCUCAACGAACAACGGUUCCAAAUGCUCGAUCAUCUUCACUCUUACCGCUAUAUCACUACCUUUAGUACUCGUAGUGUACAUCGGUCUAUGCCCUUGCACAACCACAAACGGCGUCUUGCUCCUGUUAACAGACUCUAAAUCACUCUUGAUAAAACUAUACUGCUUCCCUCCUUUAAGAAACUCCGUCUCGGUCGAAAUAUAAACGAAAUGGACCGAGCCCAUGUCGUAAGAAUAGUAAAGGUUCCGAACCUUAGCUUCGGAUGAGUUUCCAGGCAUGUUGAACUUAACACUAUACGGUACACCACAUUCUCCACCACUAUCUUUACCGUACACGUAAGCAGCCCAAUCUGGCUUCCACGGCUGCAUAGGCCAGUCGUACUCGUGGUUACCGAUGCAAACAUGGUACGGGACUUUAGAAGCUAUAGGCUCGAUUUGAUGAAAGAACUCAUCCCAUAUCCACGAGUAGCCUUUAGCAUAGCUUAUAUCACCAAUGUGUGACACGAUCGCUGCUUUAUCGUUACCUAGAGAUUUAAUGUCACGUAAGAUCCACUUCACUGUUGAUAAACUCUCCUCUUCUCCGCGGAUAAACGUUCUGUAAGGCGUGGAGCAUCCCAUGUCUCCGAACAUGAACGCUAAGGUUUGGUCUGAAUCGUCGUUUCGAGACACGAAGCUGUGGAUCUCGCUCCAUCCUUUGGACUCGCUCCCGACUUGGUAAUAGUAUUUGACUCCUGGUUUCAAGCUCUUCAUGACGGCGUCGAA